rnacentral:tRNA from 1 species
UAAGCCAAUAAUUUAAGGGUAGAAUAAUUUCUUGAUGAGGAAUCUGUAGAAGUUCAAAUCUUCUUUGGCUUAA